GCCAAGAAAACAUGUAGCAUACAGAUACAGGGUUGACAACUGUGAAACAGCUUCAAGUUAAAACUUCAACUCCCUUUCAACUCUGAAUUUGCACAUGGUUUCACUUACAUGCUGACUAGUGGGGACCUUGGCAUUUCUUCAGAGUAAUGUGAUCACAUCUGAAGGCAAUUAUUCUGAUUACAGAGGAUGUUAUCUGUUGUCACAGGAGCAGAUGCUAAAGACUCACACAGUCCUUGAGGAUUGUUUACAACGCUGGCCACAUCCUCAGUUCAUGAUGAGGAACCUAAAUAAUCUGUGAUUCUAUUGAAGAAGAGUAUGUUGAAUACCAAAUAAUAAAAAGGAGAUUUUCACAGGAAAUAUGAAGGAACUGAUUUGCACACUGUCUAAGAUUUAUAUGGGAAAUUUAUAGAAUGUUUAUGAAAUAUGCUUCAGCCACUAUGUAUUUUUUUUCUGAGACUGCAUGCCAGAUUAUCCUUCUUUUUCUAGAAGUCUCCAUGAAUAAACAUUUGUGAUGUCCUCUGAUAGGACAUCAGAUGAUUGCCUGUAAAUGUGUUUGAUGUCAAGCUACACUAAACUAUAGCUACUACAGCCACUCUUAUAAAUACUAUGUGGUUUUAUAUAAAUGGCCUCAUAGUCACCUGUGUGCAUAUUUGGCCCAGAGAGACUAUCAGUACUAGGUGGUGUAGCUUUGAGUAUGUGUGGCCUUGUUGGAGGAAGUGUGUCACUAUAGAACUGGACUUUGAUGUCUGAUGUCUGAGGAUCAAGAUGUAAAAAUCUCAGCUGCCUUUCUGACACCAUGUCUGCCUGCAUGUAGCCAUUUUUCUCACCAUGAUUACAAUGGACUAAACCUCUGAAGCCAGCCGUAGUUAAAUGUUUUCCUCUAUAAGACUUUCCCUGGAGACUUCCGGUUUGUGACCGAGCCUAGAGCAGGUCGCAGGCAGCAGCUCCGUACCCAACCGCAGAAAACCAAGAA